GUCCCCUUCGUCAGAGGUCCGUGACACCGCCCUUUCACGGCGGUAACAGGUUCGAAUCCCUAGGGGACGCCA
rnacentral:tRNA from 1 species